AGACAGAGGUGGCAAGCGUUGUUCGGAAUUACUGGGCGUAAAGGGCGCGCAGGCGGUUCGCCAAGUCUCGUGUGAAAUCCCCCGGCUCAACUGGGGAACUGCGCGGGAAACUAGUGGACUUGAGUUCGGGAGAGGAAAGCGGAAUUCCGGGUGUAGCGGUGAAAUGCGCAGAUAUCCGGAGGAACACCAGUGGCGAAGGCGGCUUUCUGGACCGACACUGACGCUGAGGCGCGAAAGCUAGGGGAGCGAACGGGAUUAGAAACCCCAGUAGUCC
rnacentral:rRNA from 1 species